GACUCAUGCGGCUCUAUCUUGUCAAUAGGCUGUAACCUUCCGACUCCGCUGCCACUGAAAACUUUUUAGCUUUUAUGUCGGACAUUAAUGAGAUUUUCUGCGGGUUUCCUCCCCUCACCCUCACGUCUUUGCUUGUAACGGACACAUUUCCAGUCAGCAGCAAAAGAGGCAGCGCGCUUACGGGUCAGAAGACGUAAAAUCCAUGGUUAUGGACAGAGACUUGUUGCAUGUGGGGACAGUAAAACAGUAAAGGUCCAUGCAGGAGGGAUUGGGCUCACCUUAUCGCCUGCUGCUACUGCUGUGUAUGUGUGAGAUGGAAGUGUGAACUCCUUGCUGGACUACUGGAACAAUAUUUAGCAUUUCUGCUACUGAUGUUUAAUCUCUCAUUAGCCUUUAGGUGACAUGAAACAGCAUCAGCCUCAAUCUUGUGUUUGCCAAUCACAGGCAGGUUGAGUGACAGGCACAGAACAGCACAUCCCUUAUGUAAACCUUUCCUCUACCACCACGAAAUUAGAGUGGCUGUUGCUACAUGCUGCCGCCUCCUGCUUCUACA